rnacentral:rRNA from 1 species
AGAGUUUGAUCAUGGCUCAGAGCGAACGCUGGCGGCAGGCCUAACACAUGCAAGUCGAACGAACUCUUCGGAGUUAGUGGCGGACGGGUGAGUAACACGUGGGAACGUGCCUUUAGGUUCGGAAUAACUCAGGGAAACUUGUGCUAAUACCGAAUGUGCCCUUCGGGGGAAAGAUUUAUCGCCUUUAGAGCGGCCCGCGUCUGAUUAGCUAGUUGGUGAGGUAAAGGCUCACCAAGGCUACGAUCAGUAGCUGGUCUGAGAGGAUGACCAGCCACAUUGGGACUGAGACACGGCCCAAACUCCUACGGGAGGCAGCAGUGGGGAAUCUUGCGCAAUGGGCGAAAGCCUGACGCAGCCAUGCCGCGUGGAUGAUGAAGGUCUUAGGAUUGUAAAAUCCUUUCACCGGUGAAGAUAAUGACUGUAGCCGGAGAAGAAGCCCCGGCUAACUUCGUG